rnacentral:piRNA from 1 species
UCCAAUGUAUUCCAUUGCUUUUUCA